GCUGAUGUGGCUCAGUGGCAGAGCAGUGCACUCGUAAUGCACAGGUCGUGGGUUCAAAUCCCACCAUCAGCUCCA
rnacentral:tRNA from 1 species